AUGGACGUAGAUCCACUCCUUCAGUCUUCACAGCAAACCCGGGGAGGAAGCAGCACUGUGGCUCCUACCUUACAGAUGGGUAACGGGACAGAGAGGACGCUCUGCAUUAAGAAGAAGGUUGGCGAACUGGCUUCACCGAGCUGCUCUCUGGCCCUUGGUGUGGGAGACAGCAUCGCCAGGCCCAGGUCGGUCCUGUGGAUGGCACUGGGAAAGGAAGCUGUGGAGGAACAUCUGGAAGCUCGGGAAGCUCGGGGCUACCUGGGGCAGUUUCUCUUCCAGUCCCGGCCCCAGGCCCACGAGUCCUGGGAUGCUGGCUGCUCCCGAACUUCCUGUAUCUGCCAGUUCCUUCCAUUAGUCUCACUUCUUUCCGGGCCUCUGCUGAGUGAAAGGAAAGCCACGAGGGAGCACAGAUUCUGAGUGGGAAAGACUUGUGGGAUGCGGGGCCCGAGAACACAGGGCACCAUCUGCAAGUUGCUCUGCAGGACACUUCUCUCGGCAGCCUGCUGACCUACAAAGGUGGCUCCAGCCAGCAGGUGCGAGAGUCUCGCUGCCCAGUGGACCGCAGAAUGACAACUGCGGGAUUACAAAGCUUCGAGUGGGCUCACAUCCUAGCGAAGAGAUCGGCUUUCUCCAGCUCAAAUGCGCCCCUCUGCAAAGACUACACAUUGCUCCUUGCUGACAGACUUUCACAGUGCGCUUGAAAAGAAACCUGUUCCAUCCGCAAAAGCUUUGAGCUUCAUGGUCUUUUUCUUUCCCCUUCUGCUACUGGGGAUUGAACUUAGGGCCUCUACACUGAGCAACAAACCCAGCUCUAUAUACAUGCACUCAUUCAUUCCUUCACCCAUUCAUUCAGACAGGGUCUCCUUAAGUUGCUAAAUUGCCCAGGCUGGGCUCAAACUUUUGAUUCUCCUGCCUCAGCCUCCCAGAGUUCGGGGAUUACAAGUGUUCAGCACUCCACCUGGGCACCUGGUUGGGGACAAGUGAGCGUUCAAGGUACCAUUAUCAAAGUCCUCUAACUCCUCUCCCUGGAGUCAGAGUGAGGCUGGGGCACCGGCCUUUGGGGUCAGCAGAAACCCACAGAUCCUACCACCCAGGGCAGCCGACCCCUCCCAAGACUAAGCCCCUGCUUCCCUGCUGCCCGUCCAGGACUUGCUUUUCCUGUCUGUACUCCUGGUUCAUCAGGAGAGAGGCCCAGAGCUGCCCUGGCUCCUGGCAGCCAAACAAUGACCCCAUUGAGCAGGGACAAGAGCCCCGGGGCUGGCUGAAAACUGGACAAGGAGAAAAUCACGACUCAGCCUGGUCAGGGAAGAGCUCGAAAAGGAACAUUAAAGCGCGGCCUCCUAACAUUUUGGGGUUUGGAAGUAAAAGAAACUUCCAAACCCACAGAAGCACUCGCAGGCCACGCCCCCAGGCACCUUCUCCCCCUGGGUGGAUCCCUGUCGGCUCCAGGAUGCCCAGUCUGACGCUGACCCAUGGAGGCCUGGGGAGUUUCUGGGGGAGGCAGAAAGUGGAGAGAAAGUGCAGGCAGCUUCUCUUCUUUUUCCUUUCCUUCUGUUUUUUGAGACAGUUUAACCAUAUAUCCCAGGCUGGCCUUGAACUCCGGUGAGCCUCCUGCCUCAGCUUCCUGAGUGCUGGGGUGACAGGUGUGCGCCACCACUGGAAAAACACAUUUUAGAGCUGCAGCCUGGUGGGCAGCAUGUGAGGCCCACAAAUGCCUGUCACUUAGGGACACAGAACCGGAAGGACAGCGCUGGCUCCUUUAGCAACAGCGGCCUGCAGCCGU
rnacentral:lncRNA from 1 species